rnacentral:misc_RNA from 1 species
GAUUAAGAACGUAGCGAAAUGCGAUACGUAAUGUGAAUUGCAGAAUUCAGUGAAUCAUCGAAUCUUUGAACGCAUAUUGCGCUCUCUGGUAUUCCGGAGAGCAUGCUUGUUUGAGUAUCAGUAAACACCUCAACUUCCAUAUCUUUUUUGAAAUGGGAGUUGGACUUGAGUGAUCCCAACGCUUUUCCUCACCGAAAAGUGGCGGGUUACUUGAAAUGCAGGUGCAGCUGGACUUUUCUCUGAGCUAUAAGCAUAUCUAUUUAGUCUGCCUAAAAAACAGAUUAUUACCUUUGCUGCAGCUAACAUAAAGGAGAUUAGUUCUUGUGCUGACUGAUGCAGGAUUCACAAAGACAGGCUUCGGCCGACUUUGUAAACUCGAUCUCAAAUCAAGUAAGACUACCCGCUGAACUUAAGCAUAUCAAUAAGCGGAGGA